rnacentral:rRNA from 1 species
AUUGAACGCUGGCGGCAUGAUUUACACAUGCAAGUCGAACGGUAACAGGCCGCAAGGUGCUGACGAGUGGCGAACGGGUGAGUAAUGCAUCGGAACGUGCCCAGUCGUUGGGGAUAACUACUCGAAAGAGUAGCUAAUACCGCAUACGAUCUAUGGAUGAAAGCGGGGGACCGUAAGGCCUCGCGCGAUUGGAGCGGCCGAUGUCAGAUUAGGUAGUUGGUGGGGUAAAGGCUCACCAAGCCAACGAUCUGUAGCUGGUCUGAGAGGACGACCAGCCACACUGGGACUGAGACACGGCCCAGACUCCUACGGGAGGCAGCAGUGGGGAAUUUUGGACAAUGGGCGCAAGCCUGAUCCAGCAAUGCCGCGUGCAGGAAGAAGGCCUUCGGGUUGUAAACUGCUUUUGUACGGAACGAAACGGCUCUGGUUAAUACCCGGGGCUAAUGACGGUACCGUAAGAAUAAGCACCGGCUAACUACGUG